rnacentral:snoRNA from 1 species
AUGGUAUGAUGGGGAAAUUUUCUAAUAAGGUCCUUUAAUAUUUCCCAUGAUUCAUGGAACUGCUCACCAUCUUGCUGCGAGAAGCUAGUGAGAGCUCGUCUUAUCU